CUCCCUUCGUUCUUUCUCUCUCUGUCUUCUUUUUUGUGAAGACAUUUUUUAUUUAUUUAUUAUUAUUAUUAAUAAUAAUAUUAUAAUAAUAAUAUUUUUAUUUAUUUAUUUAUGUAUUUUUUGUCUACAAAGUGUGCCAACAACAGUAAAUUGCAGGUACAAUCAUUUGAUUAGACAUUCUUAAGAACGUGGAUAUUUUGUACAACACUUCAGAAGGCCGAGUCAUUACCAACAAAAACAAACUACCAACUAAUUACUAAUUCAGCGGAUCAACCACUGACUAAUGUGGAUCGUAAAGCGACGAUGCAACGACCUUCGGGGAUUGUGGUCUCCACUCUCCAGAGAGCGACACACAGACUCUUCUCCGCCCCCAGCAUUCAAAGUCAGUGAGCAGCGCGCGCGUCUCAUUCUACCUGCUGAACGCGCGCCGCUCACAGCAUGGUCAAAUCUCAGUCGAGACGCUGCUGCUUCUGCAUUCUCGCUUUAGUGUGCUUUGUUGUAAUUAUCUGCAUUUGCAUCAUUUUAGCCACCAAACAGAAAUGCGCGUUCACGCACGGCGCUUCUGCGGACUCUGUCAGGUACUCCAACAUCAGCAGCCACCAAACGGAAAUGCGCGUUCACGCACGGCGCUGUUUCUGCGGACUCUGUCAGGUGCUCCAACAUCGGCAGGUAAGAAGACAUGCGCGUUAUGCUAAUUAAAAUCUGAACCUUAAGCAUGGAAAAUAUUAUAUUGAUGCAACACUGACUUUCAGAUCUGUACAAUACAGCUGCAGUACAAGUUAAGAGAGUUAAACUGCAUAUCAGUAAUAUAGUGUUUAAUAUAAAGACGUAAUGUUAAAAGUAUUUCAAACAGUUAUUAACAAUAAACAACAGAAUGUAGAGAGAUAAUCAGUUUAAGAGAUUAGAUAAUGCAGCGUUGCACAGAUGCGAUGCACUUGCGUUUGGAUACUCUUGUACUGAUGGAUCUUAUAGAUUUAGAAUAACUAGAAUUAUGACAUAAAAAUUACUAAAAAGAAUGAGUCUGUCCAGACUAUUGUGUACAUACAAUCUUGUUGACAUUUGAUCAUUAACAUUCUGUGCAUUCUGUGUUAAAUAUUUUCUGCAACCAUUUAAACCCUCUGAGUGAUGCUGUAAGAAACCAUAUCAAAGACCUUUUGUUCUGAGCACUGAUUAAACUAACAAGAAUCAUGGUACUAGUGACAGCCAAGACCUCCUGCCAGUCAAAACUGGAUCAACCAGCUUCACAAAGCCCUG
rnacentral:lncRNA from 1 species